GUGGCGACGGUGAGUACACGUUGGAACCUGCCCCAAAGUAAGGGAUAAGCCACCGAAAGGUGGUCUAAUACCUUAUAGUAUCCAUCUCGUAUGGAUUAAAGCUUUAUGCGCUUUGGGAGGGGCCUGCGUUUGAUUAGCUAGUUGGUGAGGUAAAAAGCUCACCAAGGCGACGAUCAAUAGCUGGUUUGAGAGGAUGACCAGCCACACUGGGACUGAGAUACGGCCCAGACUCCUACGGGAGGCAGCAGUAAGGAAUCUUCCACAAUGGGGCAACCCUGAUGGAGCAAUACCGCGUGCAGGAUGAAGCGUUUCGGCGUGUAAACUGCUUUUAUCACCGAAGAUUAUGACUGUAGGUGAAGAAUAAGGACCGGCUAACUACGUG
rnacentral:rRNA from 1 species